GUAGACGUCAUGCCGCGGAGCACUGCGGUGGUUGUAGUUUCGUCGGGCGUUCUCCGUGACAGGGGGCCGGAGCACCAUGGUUCAUGUUGGACUCACUACUGUUUCUAGCGCCUGACAUACAGGGCAUGGGCACAAGCUGGCUCACUCAGCAGUACCACCGGGGCUGUCGGAUCUGGGUUCUGG